rnacentral:rRNA from 1 species
CGGGACGGGUGAGUAAUGUCUGGGAAACUGCCUGAUGGAGGGGGAUAACUACUGGAAACGGUAGCUAAUACCGCAUAACGUCGCAAGACCAAAGAGGGGGACCUUCGGGCCUCUUGCCAUCGGAUGUGCCCAGAUGGGAUUAGCUAGUAGGUGGGGUAACGGCUCACCUAGGCGACGAUCCCUAGCUAGUCUGAGAGGAUGACCAGCCACACUGGAACUGAGACACGGUCCAG